rnacentral:rRNA from 1 species
AGGUGAACCUGCGGAAGGAUCAUUACCGAGUACGGGUCUCUAUCCCCUUCCCGGGGGGUGGGGGCCCAGACCUCCCACCCUUGUCGAUCGUACCGUGUUGCUUCGGCGGGCCCGCCAUGGUUGGCCGCCGGGGGGGUUUGCAUUCGCAAGCCCCCGGGCCCGUGCCCGCCGGAGACCUCUCUCGAAACGCUACCGUGGUCAGGAAUGCUGUCUGAGUGGUGAGAAAUUGAUCAAAAACUUUCAACAAUGGAUCUCUUGGUUCCGGCAUCGAUGAAGAACGCAGCGAAAUGCGAUAAGUAAUGCGAAUUGCAGAAUUCCGUGAGUCAUCGAAUCUUUGAACGCACAUUGCGCCCCCCGGGAAGCCGGGGGGCAUGCCUGUCCGAGCGUCAUUGCCAUCCCCUCAAGCUCUGCUUGGCUUGUUGGGCCGGCGUCCUCUCUGUCAUGGGGGGACGGGCCCGAAAGGCAGUGGCGGCACCCGGAGACCUGGUCCUUCGGGCGGUGAUGCAUGGGUCUCUUCAUCCACCGUCCGGCUGGCCACGCCCCGGGAGCCUGUCGAACGAUCGGUCUUCCCCUUUAGGUUGACCUCGGAUCAGGUAGGGAUACCCGCUGAACUUAAGCAUAUCAAUAAGCGGAGGAAAAGAAACCAACCGGGAUUGCCUCAGUAACGGCGAGUGAAGCGGCAAGAGCUCAAAUUUGAAAUCUGGCCCCUUCCCCGGGGUCCGAGUUGUAAUUUGGAGAGGAUGCUUGGGGUCCGGUCCCGGUCCAAGUGCCCUGGGAUGGGCCGUCGGAGAGGGUGAGAAUCCCGUCUGCGACCGGUGGCUGGGCCUGGGUGAAGCUCCCUCGACGAGUCGAGUUGUUUGGGAAUGCAGCUCUAAAUGGGUGGUAAAUUUCAUCUAAAGCUAAAUAUGGGCCGGAGACCGAUAGCGCACAAGUAGAGUGAUCGAAAGAUGAAAAGCACUUUGGAAAGAGAGUCAAACAGCACGUGAAAUUGUUGAAAGGGAAGCGCUUGCGAUCAGACUCGCCCGGGGAGGUUCAGCCGGCACUUGUGCCGGUGCAUUGCUGCCCGGGCGGGCCAGCGUCGGUUUGGACGGCCCGUCAAAGGCCCCCGGAAGGUAGCGCCCCGCACGGGGCGUCUUAUAGCCGGGGGUGCCAUGCGGCCUGUCCGGACCGAGGAACGCGCCUUCGGGCUCGGACGCUGGCGUAAUGGUCGUAAGCGGCCCGUCUUGAAACACGGACCAAGGAGUCUAACAUCCACGCGAGUGUUCGGGUGUUCAAAACCCGUCCGCGCAGUGAAAGCGAACGGAGGUGGGAACCCUCUCCCCGGGGGGUGCACCAUCGACCGAUCCUGAUGUCUUCGGAUGGAUUUGAGUAGGAGCGUGGCUGUUGGGACCCGAAAGAUGGUGAACUAUGCCUGAAUAGGGUGAAGCCAGAGGAAACUCUGGUGGAGGCUCGCAGCGGUUCUGACGUGCAAAUCGAUCGUCAAAUUUGGGUAUAGGGGCGAAAGACUAAUCGAACCAUCUGGUAGCUGGUUCCUGCCGAAGUUUCCCUCAGGAUAGCAGUAACGAAAUCAGUUU